CAGAGAUAAAGAGUGGAGGAAGAAAGUGAGAGCCAGAGAGAGACAGAAACAGGGAAUGACCAUUUACAUAUGUACACAUAGGCUACAGCAAGACUUCAUCCCCAGAUCCACUGUGGUUUCCAACUCCUGAAAUACUUGGAAUGAGGUGGAAGAAGCAAAGAAAGAAGGGAGCAGAGCAUUUGUGUUGUCUUGUUGAGAAGGCAGAAGCAAACAGAUGAGGUAGAAGGUUACUGUAAUAUUCCAGACAAAUGAUGAUGCAGCUUGAAGAAUGUGGUAACUGUGGCGAUACAAAGCAGUCAAAAUCAGGAAGUACUGUGAAGGUAGAGCCAACGGGAUGUGCCGUCAAACUGGAUAUGGGUGGAAAAUAAAAAGAAGGGUCCAAGAUAA
rnacentral:lncRNA from 10 species